rnacentral:lncRNA from 1 species
UGGUUCUGGGUUCAGGGGCGGGGGGGGGGGGGGCGGGGGAGGUCAAGGAGUCAGGCCCAAGUGCCCCCUUCACUCUCCCGCCUCUCCAACCUCUUUAGAAGGCCCCAGGCUCCUGCCCACGCAGCCCCUUCCUCUGGGGAAGCGCGGUCUCUGCUUUCUGGACCUGCCGGAUCCCUCCCUCCUGACAGGAUAUGCUCCACCUCCUCCUCCUCCGCGGCGCUCCCCACCGGGAGGGUGUGUCCUCACGCCGCCUCUGCCCCUGCCACUCCCUCCUGGACCCCCCUCUCCUGUCCCGAGCCCUCUCACCAGGAUCCCGCUGCCAGGAGGGCGAAGGCCGCCCCAGCGCAGCCGGCUGCGUUCUCUCCCUGGCCGCCUUCCGAUUCCUGGAGGGCACCCCAGUCUGCCCCUCCCACACCUCUGGACGCCCCCCGCCCCACUCACUGCGGGGCGCUCAGCUCGCACCGAGGAGCCGUGGCUGAGCGUCCACUGGCUCAGCGUCUGAGGCCGCCACGCGGCUCCCGGCCCGGCCCCGACCGCGGAGAAGGGGCUGGGGCCCCGCGCCCGGGCCGGCCUCUCUGCCGGGUCUCGGCCCCAGCGUUACCGGACCCGCGACUGUCGCGUCGGCCCGGGACCCCGCUUGCCUCACACGGAACCCCUCCGUUACCGCGCUUCCACGACGCCUCAGAGCACAACCCGAAAGCUCCAGAAGCCCCUCCCUCGCUGCCCCCCGCCCCGGGCCCCGCCGCCGGUCUCCGACUCGGUCCUGCCCCCGCCGGCGGCCCCCGCGUCACCUACCCUCGCCCCACAGCGCCCCAGGUCGCGCCCGCCCCGCCGCCUGCGCGGUCCCCGCCCGGGCCUCAGCCCGGACACCGUCCAGGGACGCCAGACUCCGACUCCCGGCGUGCCGCGUGCCGCCGGGGUCGCCGGGAUCCAGGCCGCUCUGGGCCUCCGAUUCCCGGCGUGCACCGCGCCGCCCCGCCCCUUAAAGGCGGGGACACCGCUCCCCGCCUCCUUAAAGGCGCCGCGACGCCCUCUCGGCCGCGUCGGCGCCGAGCGCGUUCGGGAGAACAGGCCCUCCGGGCGCCUGACCUGGGCCCCGCCCCGGGGGCGGCCCUGCCGCCUGGGAAGGGAUGCGGAGAAGUCGCCUCCCUGUCCUCCCCUCCGUAG